rnacentral:rRNA from 2 species
CCUACGGGAGGCAGCAGUGGGGAAUUUUCCGCAAUGGGCGAAAGCCUGACGGAGCAACGCCGCGUGAGGGAUGAAGGCCUCUGGGCUGUAAACCUCUUUUAUCAAGGAAGAAGAUCUGACGGUACUUGAUGAAUAAGCCACGGCUAAUUCCGUGCCAGCAGCCGCGGUAAUACGGGAGUGGCAAGCGUUAUCCGGAAUUAUUGGGCGUAAAGCGUCCGCAGGCGGUCUUGUAAGUCUGUCGUUAAAGCGUGGAGCUUAACUCCAUUUCAGCGAUGGAAACUGCAAGACUAGAGUGUGGUAGGGGCAGAGGGAAUUCCCGGUGUAGCGGUGAAAUGCGUAGAUAUCGGGAAGAACACCAGUGGCGAAGGCGCUCUGCUGGGCCAUAACUGACGCUCAUGGACGAAAGCCAGGGGAGCGAAAGGGAUUAGAUACCCCUGUAGUCCUGGCCGUAAACGAUGAACACUAGGUGUCGGGGGAAUCGACCCCCUCGGUGUCGUAGCCAACGCGUUAAGUGUUCCGCCUGGGGAGUACGCACGCAAGUGUGAAACUCAAAGGAAUUGACGG